UGGUCGAGGUAGACGGUGGU
rnacentral:miRNA from 1 species